UGGCGGACGGGUGAGUAAUGUCUGGGGAACUGCCUGAUGGAGGGGGAUAACUACUGGAAACGGUAGCUAAUACCGCAUAACGUCGCAAGACCAAAGAGGGGGACCUUAGGGCCUCUUGCCAUCGGAUGUGCCCAGAUGGGAUUAGCUAGUAGGUGGGGUAACGGCUCACCUAGGCGACGAUCCCUAGCUGGUCUGAGAGGAUGACCAGCCACACUGGAACUGAGACACGGUCCAG
rnacentral:rRNA from 1 species